rnacentral:SRP_RNA from 1 species
GGGGGACUUCGAAUCCACGUGCAAACCUCACCAAAAAAGAUCUCAUAAUGUGCACAGUGAAUUAUUCGACAUGUGACCUGUGGGAAGUUCAUGCACACACAAUGAGAUUCGCAUCCGUGAUUCGGCCUCAUCCAGGUGCCAGUC